rnacentral:rRNA from 1 species
UACGUAGGGUGCAAGCGUUGUCCGGAAUUAUUGGGCGUAAAGAGCUCGUAGGCGGUCUGUUGCGUCUGCUGUGAAAACUCGGGGCUUAACCCCGAGCCUGCAGUGGAUACGGGCAGACUAGAGGUAGGUAGGGGAGAAUGGAAUUCCCGGUGUAGCGGUGAAAUGCGCAGAUAUCGGGAGGAACACCGGUGGCGAAGGCGGUUCUCUGGGCCUUACCUGACGCUGAGGAGCGAAAGCGUGGGGAGCGAACAGGG